rnacentral:rRNA from 1 species
UACGUAGGGUGCAAGCGUUGUUCGGAAUUACUGGGCGUAAAGCGCACGUAGGCGGCUUUGUAAGUUAGAGGUGAAAGCCCGGGGCUCAACUCCGGAAUUGCCUUUAAGACUGCAUCGCUCGAAUUGUGGAGAGGUAAGUGGAAUUCCGAGUGUAGAGGUGAAAUUCGUAGAUAUUCGGAAGAACACCAGUGGCGAAGGCGACUUACUGGACACAUAUUGACGCUGAGGUGCGAAAGCGUGGGGAGCAAACAGG